rnacentral:lncRNA from 1 species
GCACCGCAGCCCUGGGGGCUGGAGAGCAUGGGGCUGAGCUCCCUGGACCAGGGCUGGAGAUGACACUGGAGUGAAGCCUCCCAGCAGGAUUUCUACCUUCAGAUGCAUCACUUGAGAAGAAGAUCCACCCUUGUUUUCUGUAUGGGCUCUACAGAGAAGUGGUGGCAGUGGUGGAGAUGGCAGUGGAGAUCUGCUGGUCGUGCCUCCAAAUACCAUCAGGGCUUGAAAGAUCCACACUGUGAUCAUCAGAUCAUCUGAGAAGCAAAAGCAAUGGAGAUAGAGGCUGGUCCAAACAGACUUCUGCUGCCAUAGACACUGAAGUCCUUGAAAAGAGAGGAACUUGGGGUGUCACUGGCUGUAGGUGCCCCAGGUUUAUGAGAAGACAUUGCAAAUUGGGGCACAUCCAUCUCGUGGCAGCUUCUCCCCGAUCCUGGGGUCAUGUGCAAGGAAACAGGGCUCAGGUCUCCUUUGCAGAGGAGCCCUGGGCUCUCUCCGAGGGCUUCUGCUUGGCUUCCGUGGGGACGUGGCGUCAUUGGGAGCGCCUGCCAAGUGGCAUCGGUGCCGUGACUCCAGCUCCGUCGCCGAGGCCACCGAGCCAGCUCCGGAGGGGAGCCGGGCACGGCAGAAGGAGCAGGGAAAGCCAAAAAGCUGCUCGCCCGGGCCCAGGCGUGC